CGUACGGGUGCGGAACACGUGUGCAACUUGCCUUUAUCUGGGGGAUAGCCUUUCGAAAGGAAGAUUAAUACCCCAUAAUAUGUUGAAUGGCAUCAUUCGACAUUGAAAACUCCGGUGGAUAGGGAUGGGCACGCGCAAGAUUAGAUAGUUGGUGAGGUAACGGCUCACCAAGUCUACGAUCUUUAGGGGGCCUGAGAGGGUGAUCCCCCACACUGGUACUGAGACACGGACCAGACUCCUACGGGAGGCAGCAGUGAGGAAUAUUGGACCAAUAGUGAGAGCCUGAUCCAGCCAUCCCGCGUGAAGGACGACUGGCCUAUGGGUUGUAAACUUCUUUUGUAUAGGGAUAAACCUACCCUCGUGAGGGUAGCUGAAGGUACUAUACGAAUAAGCACCGGCUAACUCCGUGCCAGCAGCCGCGGUAAUACGGAGGGUGCAAGCGUUAUCCGGAUUCAUUGGGUUUAAAGGGUCCGUAGGCGGAUCUGUAAGUCAGUGGUGAAAUCUCACAGCUUAACUGUGAAACUGCCAUUGAUACUGCAGGUCUUGAGUGUUGUUGAAGUAGCUGGAAUAAGUAGUGUAGCGGUGAAAUGCAUAGAUUUA
rnacentral:rRNA from 1 species